GGAAUCCGGGAGGACCAUCUCCCAAGGCUAAAUACUCCCUAGUGACCGAUAGUGAACCAGUACCGUGAGGGAAAGGUGAAAAGCACCCCGGAAGGGGAGUGAAACAGUUCCUGAAACCGUGUGCCUACAAGUAGUUAGAGCCCGUUAAUGGGUGAUAGCGUGCCUUUUGUAGAAUGAACCGGCGAGUUACGAUUUGUUGCAAGGUUAAGCGGAAAAAGCGGAGCCGUAGCGAAAGCGAGUCUGAAUAGGGCGCAUAAGUAACAGGUCGUAGACCCGAAACCAGGUGAUCUACCCAUGUCCAGGAUGAAGGUAAGGUAAUACUUACUGGAGGUCCGAACCCACGCACGUUGAAAAGUGCGGGGAUGAGGUGUGGGUAGCGGAGAAAUUCCAAUCGAACUUGGAGAUAGCUGGUUCUCUCCGAAAUAGCUUUAGGGCUAGCCUCGAGGUAAAGAGUCAUGGAGGUAGAGCACUGUUUGGACUAGGGGCCCUUCUCGGGUUACCGAAUUCAGAUAAACUCCGAAUGCCAUGUACUUAUACUCGGGAGUCAGACUGCGAGUGAUAAGAUCCGUAGUCGAAAGGGAAACAGCCCAGACCACCAGUUAAGGUCCCCAAAUAUAUGUUAAGUGGAAAAGGAUGUGGGGUUGCUUAGACAACCAGGAUGUUGGCUUAGAAGCAGCCACCAUUGAAAGAGUGCGUAAUAGCUCACUGGUCGAGUGACCCCGCGCCGAAAAUGUACCGGGGCUAAACAUAUUACCGAAACUGUGGAUGAACCUCUUUAGAGGUUCGUGGUAGGAGAGCGUUCUAAGGGCGGUGAAGUCAGACCGGAAGGACUGGUGGAGCGCUUAGAAGUGAGAAUGCCGGUAUGAGUAGCGAAAGAAGGGUGAGAAUCCCUUCCACCGAAUAUCUAAGGUUUCCUGAGGAAGGCUCGUCCGCUCAGGGUUAGUCGGGACCUAAGCCGAGGCCGAUAGGCGUAGGCGAUGGACAACAGGUAGAGAUUCCUGUACCAGUGCUAAUUGUUUAACCGAUGGGGUGACACAGAAGGAUAGGGAAUCGCACGAAUGGAAAUGUGCGUCCAAGCAGUGAGUGUGAGAAGUAGGCAAAUCCGCUUCUCGCGAAGCAUGAGCUGUGAUGGGGAAGGAAAUUAAGUACGGAAGUUCCUGAUUUCACGCUGUCAAGAAAAGCCUCUAGGAAGAGUAGUACUGCCCGUACCGCAAACCGACACAGGUAGAUGAGGAGAGAAUCCUAAGGUGAGCGAGAGAACUCUCGUUAAGGAACUCGGCAAAAUGACCCCGUAACUUCGGGAGAAGGGGUGCUCUAUUAGGGUGCAAGCCCGAGAGAGCCGCAGUGAAUAGGCCCAGGCGACUGUUUAGCAAAAACACAGGUCUCUGCAAAACCGUAAGGUGACGUAUAGGGGCUGACGCCUGCCCGGUGCUGGAAGGUUAAGAGGAGUGCUUAGCUUCGGCGAAGGUACGAAUUGAAGCCCCAGUAAACGGCGGCCGUAACUAUAACGGUCCUAAGGUAGCGAAAUUCCUUGUCGGGUAAGUUCCGACCCGCACGAAAGGCGCAACGAUCUGGGCACUGUCUCAACGAGAGACUCGGUGAAAUUAUAGUACCUGUGAAGAUGCAGGUUACCCGCGACAGGACGGAAAGACCCCGUGGAGCUUUACUGCAACCUGAUAUGGAAUGUUUGUACCGCUUGUACAGGAUAGGUAGGAGCCGAAGAGACGUGUGCGCUAGCAUACGAGGAGGCAAUGGUGGGAUACUACCCUGGCUGUAUGACCAUUCUAACCCGCCACGCUUAGCGCGUGGGGAGACAGUGUCAGGUGGGCAGUUUGACUGGGGCGGUCGCCUCCUAAAGAGUAACGGAGGCGCCCAAAGGUUCCCUCAGAAUGGAUGGAAAUCAUUCGCAGAGUGUAAAGGCACAAGGGAGCUUGACUGCGAGACUGACAAGUCGAGCAGGGACGAAAGUCGGGCUUAGUGAUCCGGUGGUUCCGCAUGGAAGGGCCAUCGCUCAACGGAUAAAAGCUACCCCGGGGAUAACAGG
rnacentral:rRNA from 1 species